rnacentral:misc_RNA from 1 species
AGCAGCCGCGGUAAUUCCAGCUCCAAUAGCGUAUAUUAAAGUUGUUGCAGUUAAAAGCUCGUAGUUGAAUUUCGGGAUCAAUACGUCGGUCGUGCUUCGGUACGUACUGGCGUAAUUGAUUUCUCCCUUCUGACGAACCAUGAUGUCAUUAACUUGGUGUCAUGGGAAAUCAGGACUGUUACUUUGAAAAAAAUUAGAGUGUUUAAAGCAGGCUCACGCUUGAAUACAUUAGCAUGGAAUAAUGAAAUAGGACGUUCGAUCCUAUUUUGUUGGUUUUUAGGAUCAACGUAAUGAUUAAUAGGGAUAGUUGGGGGCAUUAGUAUUCAAUUGUCAGAGGUGAAAUUCUUGGAUUUAUUGAAGACUAACUACUGCGAAAGCAUUUGCCAAGGAUGUUUUCAUUAAUCAAGAACGAAAGUUAGGGGAUCGAAGACGAUCAGAUACCGUCGUAGUCUUAACCAUAAACUAUGCCGACUAGGGAUCGGAUGAUGUUAAUUUUUUAAUGACUCAUUCGGCGCCUUAC